CAGUAGCCGCGGUAAAACGUAGGUGGCAAGCGUUGUCCGGAAUUAUUGGGCGUAAAGGGCUCGCAGGCGGUUUCUUAAGUCUGAUGUGAAAGCCCCCGGCUCAACCGGGGAGGGUCAUUGGAUACUGGGAAGCUUGAGUGCAGAAGAGGAGAGUGGAAUUCCACGUGUAGCGGUGAAAUGCGUAGAGAUGUGGAGGAACACCAGUGGCGAAGGCGACUCUCUGGUCUGUAACUGACGCUGAGGAGCGAAAGCGUGGGGAGCGAACAGGAUUAGAUACCCCCGUAGUCCCUGUCUCUUAUAC
rnacentral:rRNA from 1 species